rnacentral:misc_RNA from 1 species
AAACAUCAAAUAUGCUGUUUAAACGGUGUGGUUUGGAUUUUGUAAAGUGAUGCUCUGCUUAACAUUUGCCAAUCUUUUGAUAAGGUAAUCUGAAUGAUAAAGCCAUGAAUACAGCCCAGGAUGUCGUUCGAUGCGAUCUUUGUACAGAUGUUGUACAACAUUAUUGCAAAAGUUGUCACGUUAACCUUUGUGGAAACUGUAGGAUCAAACACAUUGACAGAAACAAAUUAACAAAGCAUGAAAUUGUCCCCUUCACUUCCCAGCAUCUGAAACAGGAAUAUAAGGUACAGAAAUGCGAGGAUCAUCCAAAACAAGAGAAGGAUCUCUACUGCCAAGACUGUAACGUUCCAAUCUGCUCACGGUGUCUAACCGGAAAUCACAAAAGACACGGGGCAGUGGAUUUGGAGGAAAUAUGUGAAUCAACUCGAAACUCCGUCUCAGAAGAUUUAAAAGAGUUAUAUCACUUUGAAAGAGAGUAUUCAAAAAUUGUGAAAGAUAUGGAAAUGAGGGUCAUAUCAUACAAGGGUCAUUGCGAUAAAGAAAAUGGCUCUCUAGAGAAAUUAGGACAAGUCUGGCACAAAAUCAUUGAUAAUGCAAUAGAAAAAAUCGAAAACAAGCUGGCGGUCAUGAUCAAACAAGACCUGCAGAUUUUGCAAGACAACGUAGAGAAGAUACAAUCUUCAUAUCAGAAAGUGAAACAAUGCAUCGAGAGAAAUGAAUACAUCCUUAAAGAAGAAAACUCCUUUCAGAUGCUUUAUUACAAGUCAGACGUAGAGGAAUUGCGACUUGUUCCAUCCAGGAAAGACGUGAGUCCCCCAACACUGAUAUUCCCAGACACCAGGAAAGAGACCAUCAUUGAGCAAAUUGUGUCUCUCAGGUCAUCUUUUCAAUCUUCUCUUCCAGAUAUUACAAUAACCAAAACGGGCGAUGUUUCAAUGGUAUCGAAUCGUGUAUUAGUUGAGGACCCAGAACUCAUUUCAGUUAUGUUCACAUAUAGCAAAAAAUUGAAAGGAAUCCGCUGCGAGUCUGAUGACAAGGUUUGGAUUUAUGGAGAUGAUGAAAAGAUUAGACAGCUAGACAAAUCGGGUUCUACGUUACAAUGCUUCAAUGCUGUGUCUGGAAACAGUCAGAAGGAUAUAGCUUUGAGUAAAGAUGGUCAUAUUGCAUUUUCUCACAAAGUUAACGAGUGUAUUUAUCUAGUAAAGAAAAAUGGAAUUGAGAAGUAUGUCGAUAUGGCUGGCUGGAUCCCAUAUGGCCUUAUGUACAAUUCAGACGGAGAGUUGAUGGUCUGUAUGCGACGUAAUGAUUAUACAGAAAGUAAAGUGGGUUUUUUCACCAAAGGAAAAUUAAACCAAGAAUUCCAAUUUGAUGAAACUGGGAAACCAUUAUUUUCUAUCAGCCGAAACAAUAUGUAUAUUUGUGAAAACGGAAAUGGUGACAUAUGUGUUUCUGACUGGAACGCAUGCGCAGUUAUUACGAUGAAAAAAUCUGGGGAAUUUCGCUUUCGCUAUGCAGGAAAUCGAUCUUGUAGCUUCAAAGAGUUCUAUCCCCACGGAAUCGCAACGGACAGUUCCUGUCGUAUCUUGGUCGUAGAUCGAGAUAAUAACUGCGUUCAUGUAACCGACAGAAACGGAAAGUUCUUACGGUACAUCUCGUGUGGUUUGGAGGAUCCGUUUGUUUUGAGCUUAGAUGAAAAAGAAAAUCUUUGGGUCGGAGAAUGUGACAACAACUGCAUCAAAAUCAUCAAAUAUCUUGAGUGACUUGAUAAUAAGAAGUCUGUCUUUCUUUUUUGACAAAUCAAUUUUGAUAUAGCAAUACAAUUACAUAUGUAUAUCAUAUCGUGAUAUAACUUUAAGGGUUUUUGCAUCCCUGAUACGAACAAUGGCAUGCGCUUGUAACACAUUCUCUGUAUCAUCGCCCUUUAUCUCACUUUUCCGAAACAUCUUGGAUCAUUUUUUGUUUUUGUGGUGCAUAUCUGCAAUCAAAAAAAGAACGUCAUGAAAUUUAUCACACCUUUCAUAAACAUCAAGGAUCAGGAUCAUUUUCUUUCAUUUUUCUUUUCUUUUAUUCGAUGCAUAUCUGCAAUAAAAACCGAAACGCCUUGACAUAAACAUUUCACCAUGGAAUCUUAUUUAUAAGCUACUGACAAACUAGUUGAUAAAAGAGGAAUAUCAACAGUCUCGAAUGAAAGUCAUAUUUUCGUAAGUUCUAUUGUCAAUACAACGAUCUUGUCAGCAAAUACAAUCUUCCCCUGGACUGCAUGCUGACUGGCGUUUUUCAUACUUAUUGUCAGACCAUAAUUAAUCACCUAAUUGUCUACUGACUUUUCCGUUUUCCCGAUUACGACAAAGAGCACACGGCGAGUGUGACCGGUCAGCAGAGGAUGCUCACUCCUCCAUGACACCUGAUUCCAAUUCUUUUGUUUUGAAGUCCGUGUUUGCUCUGGUCCUUUUUAGUUUUUUCCUUUGGACUUUUGAUUUCAAACACUGUUCGUUAUUACCACAUGUCAUUUUUAUAAGGAAUUAAAAAAUCCGGAGGCGACGAAUAGCAACCGAUUUUUUAAUAUCAAUAAAUAAAAUUUAAUUGAAAAAUU